rnacentral:rRNA from 1 species
UACAGAGGUGCCGAGCGUUAGGCGGAAUCACUGGGCUUAAAGCGUGUGUAGGCGGAUCGUUAAGUGCCUUGUGAAAUCCCACGGCUCAACCGUGGAACUGCUUGGCAUACUGGCGAUCUUGAGCCACUUAGGGGCUACCGGAACAAGUGGUGGAGCGGUGAAAUGCGUAGAUAUCAUUUGGAACGCCAAUGGUGAAAACAGGUAGCUGGGAGUGUGCUGACGCUGAGACACGAAAGCCAGGGGAGCAAACGGG